rnacentral:tRNA from 1 species
GGGGAUGUGGCUCAGUGGUAAAAGUGCUUGCCUGGUAUGCAUGAGGCCCUGGGUUCAAAUCCCCAUGCACCA